rnacentral:rRNA from 1 species
GAUGAACGCUGGCGGCGUGCUUAACACAUGCAAGUCGAACGGAAACGUAUUGAAACCUAGUGAUAUACGUUUUAGUGGCGGACGGGUGAGUAACGCGUGGGUAACCUGCCGUAUUCUGGGGGACAACAGUUGGAAACGACUGCUAAUACCGCAUAAGACCACAGAGCCGCAUGGCUCAGGGGUAAAAACUCCGGUGGAAUACGAUGGACCCGCGUCUGAUUAGCUAGUUGGUGAGGUAACGGCCCACCAAGGCGACGAUCAGUAGCCGGCCUGAGAGGGUGAACGGCCACAUUGGGACUGAGACACGGCCCAAACUCCUACGGGAGGCAGCAGUGGGGAAUAUUGCACAAUGGGCGAAAGCCUGAUGCAGCGACGCCGCGUGAGUGAAGAAGUAUUUCGGUAUGUAAAGCUCUAUCAGCAGGAAGAAAAUGACGUAC